UUGACCUCGAAUCAGGUAGGAAUACCCGCUGAACUUAAGCAUAUCAAUAAGCGGAGGAAAAGAAACCAACAGGGAUUGCCCCAGUAACGGCGAGUGAAGCGGCAACAGCUCAAAUUUGAAAUCUGGCCCCUAGGGCCCGAGUUGUAAUUUGCAGAGGAUGCUUUUGGCGAGGUGCCUUCCGAGUUCCCUGGAACGGGACGCCAUAGAGGGUGAGAGCCCCGUCUGGUUGGAUGCCGAGCCUCUGUAAAGCUCCUUCGACGAGUCGAGUAGUUUGGGAAUGCUGCUCUAAAUGGGAGGUAUAUGUCUUCUAAAGCUAAAUACCGGCCAGAGACCGAUAGCGCACAAGUAGAGUGAUCGAAAGAUGAAAAGCACUUUGAAAAGAGGGUUAAAUAGUACGUGAAAUUGUUGAAAGGGAAGCACUUAUGACCAGACUUGGACCCGGUGAAUCAUCCAGCGUUCUCGCUGGUGCACUUUGCCGGGCUCAGGCCAGCAUCAGUUUGCCUCGGGGGAUAAAGGCUUUGGGAAUGUGGCUCCCUCGGGAGUGUUAUAGCCCAUUGCACAAUACCCUGGGGCGGA
rnacentral:rRNA from 1 species